GCUUACAGCCAUAUCACGUUGAAAGCACCGGUUCUCGUCCAAUCACCCAAGUUAAGCAACGUUGAGCCUAGUAAGUACUUAGAUGGAUGACCACUUGGGAAACCUAGGUGCUGUAAGUG
rnacentral:rRNA from 1 species